AUGGCGUCUUUGUUGAUCAAAGUAUUUAUUUUUCCAGGCCUCAAGAAUCAUCUCUUUUAUACAUGCCACAUGAAGACAGUAUCUGCGGCAAGUAGAAACAUAAAACCAGCUUUUUGGACCACUAAGAAUACGACAUUUUUGGCAAGCUGAGGAAGCCUUUUUUUUCAGUUCUAGUGUCACACCUUCACUACUUAAGGUGAGUGGGAGCUUUGCACAGUUAGGGUGCAUAUCAUAUCCCCUAGACGAGCAAUGGUACAGAAACCCUUUCACAUCUUUCCCGCAUGCAUCACAAAUUCUAUCCCCAAAUGUUGGAGAUCUCUUAUAAAAGUCGAAUCUACAUCCUUCAAAGAGAUGAUGGUAAGUAGGUGAGGAAGGUAUUGCACAUUCCUCAUGCAUAUAAAACAUACAGUUUCUGCAUCUAUAGCAUCUCCCAAAUCCGAGCUCUUUACACCCAUCACAGAAGUAAGGUGUGGAGGGAUGUUCGAGUUUUAGAUAGUGCCGUGGGUGGCUGGGAUGCUUAAUAUCGGUGACAGCAGGCAUAUUGUAGGAAAGGUUCUCUCAACACCUUUUGAUGUGGAGAUUUUGAUGCGAGAUUUGUAGGAAUUUAUGAAUCUGCAAUGAACUUCUUUUGAAGAGCUCUAAUAUAAUUGAGGGAAAACCAGCAAAAGAGCG
rnacentral:misc_RNA from 1 species